CCAGAUCGUACAGGGUUUGUGGAGUCAUGAUUUUAUCCUCAGGUACUUGGGAGCCAGUAAAGAAUUUUAAGAACAAAAGUGACAGGGUCAAAUUUGAAUUUGGAAACGGAACGCGGACUGGAGAGGACAAAGGUAGGAGGAGACAAAAGCCUCCCUUCCGGGAGACUCGGAAAGGGACUACUGCGGCAGUCUCGGCGACAGAUGAUGGUGAUGUCUUUAACCAGGGUGGUGCCAGGGGAGAUGGGGAAAGACAUGGGCAGUUCCAGGUGCACUAGGAAGCGAAACCCGACGUGGGGGGGGGGGGGGGUGCUGGUGAAAGAAUAAUAACCGUACUUCAAAUACAGAGACCAUGGAGAAGAAACAAGACGUAUAUUGAUAGAAAAAAGAAAAAAAAAAAACCAACAAUUUAUUUUGCUCCUUAAGCCACCUGGCCUCCCCCUUCUCUUAACCCUGCCGCCUCGAUAUAUGCAGAUGACAGUAAGACGAGGGGCGGGGCAGGCGCCCACAGCAAUCCGGGAACUAUUAUUUAAAGUGCGUGGACGUCACCGGAGAGCAGAAUAAAGAACACAAGGCACUUCCUGUUACUCCGGAAGUGAAGGCUCUUAAGCUGCUCCGCCGGCGGAGGGCCAGAUUGAAGGGAUGGCCGGGCGGACCGCGCAGCUGGUGCUGCUGGCUGGGGCAGCCGCACUUGCAAGCGGCUCCCAGGGCGACCGCGAGCCGGUGUACCGCGACUGCGUGCACCGGUGCGAGGAGCGGAACUGCUCAGGGGGCGCACUGAGGCACUUCCGCUCCCGCCAGCCAAUCUACAUGAGUCUAGCAGGCUGGACCUGUCAGGACGACUGUAAGUAUGAGUGUAUGUGGGUCACUGUUGGCCUCUACCUCAAGGAAGGUCACAAAGUGCCUCAGUUCCAUGGCAAGUGGCCCUUCUCCCGGUUCCUGUUCUUCCAAGAGCCAGCUUCUGCCAUGGCCUCUUUCCUCAACGGCUUGGCCAGCCUGGUGAUGCUCUGCCGCUACCAUACCUCCGUGCCAGCCUCCUCCCCCAUGUAUCCCACCUGCGUGGCCUUCGCCUGGGUCUCCCUCAAUGCUUGGUUCUGGUCCACAGUCUUCCACACCAAGGACACCGACCUCACAGAGCUCUCCCCGUCCUCAGAAAAUGGAUUACUUCUGUGCGUCCACCGUCAUCCUACACUCUGUCUAUCUGUGCUGCGUCAGGACCGUGGGGCUGCAGCACCCGGCUGUGGCCAGUGCCUUUCGGGCCCUCCUGCUGCUAAUGCUGACCGCGCAUGUCUCCUACCUGAGCCUCGUCCAUUUCGACUAUGGCUACAACCUGGCGGCCAAUGUGGCUAUUGGCCUGGUGAACGUGGUGUGGUGGCUGGCCUGGUGCCUGCGGAACCAGCGGCGGCUGCCUCACGUGCGCAAGUGCAUGGUGGUGGUCCUGCUGCUACAGGGGCUGUCCCUGCUUGAGCUGCUCGACUUCCCGCCUUUCUUCUGGGUCCUGGACGCCCACGCCAUCUGGCACAUCAGCACCAUCCCGGUCCACGUCCUGUUCUUCAGCUUUCUGGAAGAUGACAGCCUGUAUCUGCUGAAGGAAUCAGAAGCCAAGUUCAAGCUGGACUGAAGGCCCUGGGAGCGUGUCUGCCCCACUGGGGGUCCUGCCCUCUCCCCGCUGCUCCCCUUCUCCUCAUAAUCCUUGAGAUGAAUUUUUUUUUUUUUUUUUUUUUUUGCCUUUUAGCAUCUUGAACUUGGACAUGAAGGGUGUGGGCCCAGAAUCAUGUAACUGCCCAUCCCCUUGCUUGCCCCCACAUGGCCCUCCCAGGCCUUGGAGUCUGUUCAGGCUUGGCCUCUCAGCAUCUGGGGUUAGAGAAUGGGCAACCUCUCUGGUUCCUGGAGCAGAACUGGUGUAGAACUGUGUUCUUAGCUCCACCAAGAGGAGAGCUGCCUCUGCCUCCCCAUCAGCCUCUUCCCCACAUCCCCUCAGUGCCUGGGUGGUUCCCACAGCUGUUUGUCUAUCUGGGAAACCAGGUACCACAGGCCUUUGGGGACAGUGGGGUCCCCUUCUGUUACCCCCCUGCCCUCCUCCAGGGCACCACUAGGUGGCACUAGACUCUUGCUCUUUGGCUACCCAAGUUCCAAGGUUGGUCUCAUUCUCCCCAUGGGAUCUUGAGGGACUAAGCCCCUGGGACUGGGGAGUGGUCUUACCCUGACUGUUGCUUCAGCCAGACCCCCCCAAGAGGCCUCACUAUGUUCCUUCCCCCUUCAAGGCCAGAACCCCACAGAGCCCAGGACGGGAAUCCCUCUGGCUUCUCUGCUGCUGUUCUGGUUGAGAGCCUGCACAUGAAUGUGUACGGGAGUGUGAACCAGACUGAGUGCAUAGGUGACAGAGUGGUGGGCACGGGCCUGAGGUGUGUGGGAUGCUGGGUGGGACAGUGUGUAUGAGCGUGGGUGGAGAGUGGGGUGGGGUGUGAGUGGUUUUAAAGUGUGUGCUGCAGGACAGGUGGGUGAGUGUGAGUGCCAUGAGUGUACCACACAGUGGGGGCAGGUUGGAGAAAUAUGGGGUAUCGAGUCACUACCACCAAGUACCUAUUGAGCGCUAGCUCUGCACAAGGCCCCAGGCCAGGCAGAGAGCCAGGAUAUCCUCAAAGUCUGGCUGGGGGUACGAGUGUCCAGGCUGCAUGUGUGUGUUUCUGUCCAUUGCCCCCACUUUACAGCCCUCCAAAUCUCGGAGGGCCCACACACAACUCAAGAUUACCCUCCAGAACCAGCCUCUUGGGAGUCCGAGGGAGGUGGGGAAAUGGAGAUCCUCUGCGCCUCUCCUGCCUUCUGUCUCCUCGCCUAGGCUUGGUUGGCCUUCCCUUCCCAGAGUAACCUACCUGCUAAGCCCCUCUGUCACAGCCUGGACCUUGGGAAAGGGGGGCAAUCUGAGGGAGCAGGGGAGGAGGAUUGUGGCUGGGUCUGGUUUCUGGCCUUCCCAGAGACAGGCAGGGGCCACGCUCUACCUGCACCCCAGUAAAGGUGACCCCUGCUAGUUGCCAGCAGCCCUGGCACAUUCGUGCUCUGCAAGGAUAGAACUUGAAGCUCCAGAAACUUUCCAUCCAAAGGCAGUCUGUGUGAUUGGAGCAGGGAGUCUGGAUUCUUGUUCUUUCCCUGCCCUCUUGCCCUCCCUGGAGUCGGGGCACUGUACUAGGACUCCAACCUCAGACUCGGGUGACCUGUGGUUUGUUUUUUUUCUUUUUUUAUAUUGAGAACUAUUUUAAGGUGAGAGAGAGGGUAGCAAGGAACAUUCUUAAUAAACAAAUUCUCAGCCUCA